AUGUUUAAUGACUGCAUCGCGGACCUUGGCCUCCGCGAGAUAGAUCGGGUUGGUGCCAGAUUCACCUGGACCAACCGGCAGGAGUCCCCGACCCAGUCCGUUCUGGACCGGGUCCUAGUUUCCCUCGAGUGGGAUCUCCGCUGCCCUCUGGCCUCCCUUCGGGUGAUCACCCGGAUUGGCUGCGAUCACGUCCCCCUCCUCCUGUCCUCCGCUGACGAACGACCACCGAUUCCCCCUCGCUUCUGUUUUGAGACAUUCUGGUUGUCCCAAACUGGUUUCGUUGCGGUAGUGGUCGCGCGUUGGGUGGAGGCGCGUGCCCACCCCCACCCCCGUCCCCCCUCGGCCAUUGAUGUAUGGCGGCUCUGUGCUAAACGGGGACAAUAGUUUAUGAAGGGGUGGGGUGCCAACCUUAGGCGUGAUCUCCGUGAAUGCAAGAAGGCCCUGUUGACUGCCAUCCAGGCCCUUGACCUGCGUGCGGAUGUUGUUGGCCUCUCCCCCGGGGAGUGGCUCUCCCGCUGUGACUUAGAAGACCAACUCUCCGUCAUCUACAUCGACGAGGAGGCCUACUGGCGCUUGCGGGGCUCCCAGAAAUGGGUCCUGCAAGGGGACGCGAACACUGCUUACUUUCAGGCCAUUGCGAACGGCCGCCGUAGGCGCAACACCAUCCCACUCCUUUGGGAUGGCGGGACCCUCCUUCGGUCCUCUAGAGACAUUAGAGCCCACGUCAACGGGUUCUACCGGGCCUUGUUCUCCCCCGCUCCUCGGAGUGGCCUCUCCCUUGCCCUUGAUUGCUGGACUGGCAACCGGCGUGUCUCCGCCGCGGAGAACGUGGCCCUCACGGCCCCGUUCUCGGAGGGCGAGGUUUGGGCCGCCAUUAGUACCAUGAACCCUUCAUCGACUCCUGGUCUGGAUGGCCUCCCGGUUAAGUUCUUCCAGUCCUUCUGGAAUGUGAUUAAACCUGGGAUCAUGGCCAUCUUCGAUGGGUUCUACAUUGGCUCCAUCGACCUUGGACGCCUUAACUAUGGGAUCAUCUCGCUCAUCCCCAAAGUUUCUGGGGCCUCCGACAUCCGCCAGUUCCGCCCAAUCACGGUUAUCAACGUGAUUUUCUGGAUCCUGGCCAAAGGGUACGCCAAUAGGGCGACCCGGCUGGCCGAUCACAUUACCAACUCCAACCAGACCACCUUCAUUCAAGGGCGGUAUAUUAUGGAUGGGGUGCUGGUCCUCCACGAAGUCCUUCAUGAGGCCCGGUCUAAGCACCUCAGCGUGGUCUUCCUUAAGAUUGAUUUCCAUAAGGCUUAUGACACUGUUAGUUGGCCCUUCCUUCGGGAAGUUUUGCUGAAAGGAUCGAGAAGAGGUGUCUAG
rnacentral:rRNA from 1 species